AGUGAACGCUGGCGGUAGGCCUAACACAUGCAAGUCGAACGGCAGCACAGUAAGAGCUUGCUCUUACGGGUGGCGAGUGGCGGGCGGGUGAGGAAUACAUCGGAAUCUACUUUUUCUUGGGGGAUAACGUAGGGACACUUACGCUAAUACCGCAUACGACCUACGGGUGAAAGCAGGGGAUCUUCGGACCUUGCGCGAUCGAAUGAGCCGAUGUCGGAUUAGCUAGUUGGAGGGGUAAAGGCCCACCAAGGCGACGAUCCGUAGCUGGUCUGAGAGGAUGAUCAGCCACACUGGAACUGAGACACGGUCCAGACUCCUACGGGAGGCAGCAGUGGGGAAUAUUGGACAAUGGGCGAAAGCCUGAUCCAGCCGUACCGCGUGUGUGAAGAAGGUCUUCGGAUUGUAAAGCCCUUUUGUUGGGAAAGAAAAGCAGCAGGUUAAUACCUCGCUGUUCUGACGUUACCCAAAGAAUAAGCACCGGCUAACUUCGUG
rnacentral:rRNA from 1 species